UACGGAAGGGGCAAGCGUUGUUCGGAAUCAUUGGGCGUAAAGGGCGCGUAGGUGGUUCUGUAUGUCUACCGUGAAAGCGUACGGCUCAACCGUAUUUUGUCGGUAGAAACUGCAGGACUUGGGGCUGGGAGGGGCUGGUGGAAUUCCCUGUGUAGCGGUGAAAUGCGUAGAGAUGGGGGAGAACACUCGUGGCGAAGGCGGCCAGCUAGACCAGUUCUGACACUGAGGCGCGACAGCGUGGGGAGCAAACAGG
rnacentral:rRNA from 1 species